AUAUGCUUACAACAUAGUGUUAAUUUACCAGAUCCCAUUAGAACUCCACAGUUAAGCAUGCUCAGACUAGAGUAGCACUGGGAUGGGUUAACACCUGGGAAGUCCUAGUAUUUUACAUGCC
rfam:Picea glauca, whole genome shotgun sequence.